rnacentral:rRNA from 1 species
UACGUAGGGGGCAAGCGUUGUCCGGAUUUAUUGGGCGUAAAGAGCGUGUAGGCGGCCAUACAGGUCAGCUGUGAAAACUCGAGGCUCAACCUCGAGACGUCGGUUGAAACCGUAUGGCUAGAGUCCGGAAGAGGAGAGUGGAAUUCCCGGUGUAGCGGUGAAAUGCGCAGAUAUCGAGAGGAACACCUGCGGCGAAGGCGGGUUGCUGGGCUGACACUGACGCUGAAGCGCGAAAGCUAGGGGAGCGAACGGG